UAAUAACGGGUUCGUCACGUGUGUUAUCCGGACAACCGUUCUGCUCAGGUUCAGGCUCCGGCAGGCCUGACGGAUACUGAGUCCGAAUGCCGUUAUCAGAUGAGUGACCAGCUCACGCUUAAAGGCUGGUUUU
rnacentral:sRNA from 22 species